rnacentral:rRNA from 1 species
UACGAAAGGUGCAAGCGUUAAUCGGAAUUACUGGGCGUAAAGCGCGCGUAGGCGGUGUGUUAAGUCAGAUGUGAAAGCCCUGGGCUCAACCUGGGAAUGGCAUUUGAUACUGGAUAGCUAGAGUAUGGUAGAGGUGAGUGGAAUUUCAGGUGUAGCGGUGAAAUGCGUAGAGAUCUGAAGGAACAUCAGUGGCGAAGGCGACUCACUGGGCCAUUACUGACACUGAGGUGCGAAAGCGUGGGUAGCAAACAGG